rnacentral:lncRNA from 1 species
UCGCUCAUAUAUUUUGGAAUAAACUGAUGCCCCUAACUCAUGGUGGAGAUAGGCUAAGUCAUGGCCCUCUAAAAGAUGCAUCCAAGUCCUAACCUCUGGUGCCGUGAAUGUACUCUCAUUUGGAAAUUGUGUCUUUGUAGAUGUAAUUAGGCUAAGAAUCUGGAGAGGAAACCAUUCUGCAUUUAGGGUAGACACUGAAUCCAGUAACUGAUGUCCUCAGAAUGGAGAGUUCGAGUCAAAGAUAGAGAAGAGAAGGCUGUUGAGGCUGAGGUGGAAAUUGAGGUAAUGCAUCUACCAACCUAGGACAUCCAAGCAAAGAGAGCAGCAUGGGACAGAUUCUCCCUCAAUGCCUGCAACAACAACAACAACAACAACAACAACAACAACAAAAAGCCACACCUUGAUUUUGGACCUCUGUUCCACACAUUGUGAGAGAAUAAAUUUUUAUCACUUUAAGCCUCUGAGUUUGUGGUAAUUUAUUAUGGUAGGCCUAGGGUAACUAGUACAGACUGCUUUGCUAGUCCAUUAGAAUGAAAAAAAACAAAUUUCUUCUGGCAUUUUUUUCUACCAAGUAAAACAUUCAUGAUAAAGGAACUAACGUGAAGGAAGGAAGAGAUAGAAGGCGAAAAUAUUGACUCCUAAUAUCAUGACAACAUCUCUGUUUUACAAUGGCUGAAGUGAAUCUAUCUACCCUGGGCUGUAUUAAGCCAUAUUGAUUUGGAUUUCUUUUACAUGCAACCAAGAACCUUGAUUAAUGAAGAUAGAAAUGUUUGAACAAGAGUUGUAAAGGUUAGGUGUGAUUUGGGAGUGUUUAUUGACCAAUAUCCAAUUAGUUACAUAUAAAAGAAAGUCUAAAUUUCAGAGGUUCGUUGACUUCAAUACAUUUAAAAAUAAUUUGUUGCAUGAUUAUAUUUAUACAACACAUUGAUAUCAGCUAAGCCUUCUAGGGGGGUGAUUCUUCUAUUCUCCCCCAUUAAUUAAUUAAUUCAUUCAUUCAUCCAUGUAUUUAAGUAUGUUAGUUUUUAAACAUUUGCUGACUUUCUGACACUGUAAAGUACCCCAGGCAUAUCAUAUAUUUUCUGUCCCAGUCCUAGUAUUAACUUUUUUCUGCAAAGAGCUCUGGAUCCUUUUACAGGAGAACAUUAUUAGAAAUCAAGGUACUGGUUGCCACUGGGUUAUUAUUGCUUCUAGGAUCUCAGCCGACAGAGCAAGGAAAUAUAUGUAUAUACUAAUGACUGUCUAAAUAUAUGUCUAGAAAUUUUAAUGAAACUGUCUGUGCUUUUAUUAAACUAAAUAUGAGUUCAUAUUGAUGUCUCCAAUAACACAUGGAUCGUUCUAGUUAUUGCUUAUCUAUAACCUCCCACUGCAAUGGUGAAACUCCUGAUUCACACAAACCACUUUCAUUUACUUUAUUCAAUUACAUUACACACAUACAGGAAAUUCAGAAUUGUGAGCCCAUACUUUUGUAGAAAGCAACUUGAUCAACUAGAGUACAGUGUUUAUGUAUAGCUCAUUUUGCCUCAGUUUUACAGGCUCUACUCAUUGCUAAAUUAUUUACAUUCUUACUGUUCUUCCUGCCUGCUCCAUUCAGGUUGGUUCAUUCAUUUAUAGUAAGUUUGACUUGGCCGGGAGCAGUGGCUCAUGCCUGUAAUCCUGGGAGACCGAGGCAGGCGGAUCACCUGAGGUUGGGAGUUUGAGACCACCUGACCAACGUGGAGAAACCCUGUCUCUACUGAAAAUGCAAAAUUAGCCAGGUGUGGUGGCACAUGCCUCUAAUCCCAGCCACUCAGGAGGCUGAGGCAGGAAAAUCGCUUGAACCCGGGAGGCGGAGGUUGUAGUGAGAUUGCGCCAUUGCACUCCAGCCUGGGCAACAAGAGUGAAAGCGAAACUCCAUCUCAAAAAAGAAAAAAAAAAAA